rnacentral:tRNA from 1 species
GGGGCUGUAGCUCAGUUGGUAGAGCGCCACCAUGGCAUGGUGGAAGUCAGGGGUUCGAUUCCCCUCAGCUCCA